rnacentral:rRNA from 1 species
CCUACGGGAGGCAGCAGUGAGGAAUAUUGGUCAAUGGUCGGGAGACUGAACCAGCCAAGCCGCGUGAGGGAUGAAGGUACAGAGUAUCGUAAACCUCUUUUGUCAGGGAACAAAGGCGGGGACGUGUCCCCGGAUGAGUGUACCUGAAGAAAAAGCAUCGGCUAACUCCGUGCCAGCAGCCGCGGUAAUACGGAGGAUGCGAGCGUUAUCCGGUUUUAUGGGGUUUAAAGGGUGCGCAGGCGGUCUGUUAAGUCAGCGGUCAAAGCCCGGGGCUCAACCCCGGCCCGCCGUUGAAACUGGCAGUCUCGAGUUGGAGAGAAGUAUGCGGAAUGCGCGGUGUAGCGGUGAAAUGCAUAGAUAUCGCGCAGAACUCCGAUUGCGAAGGCAGCAUGCCGGAUCCACACUGACGCUGAGGCACGAAAGCGUGGGUAUCGAACAGGAUUAGAUACCCGGGUAGUC